CCUACGGGAGGCAGCAGUGGGGGAUAUUGCACAAUGGGGGAAACCCUGAUGCAGCGACGCCGCGUGUGGGAAGACGGUCCUCUGGAUUGUAAACCACUGUCCCCAGGGACGAAGAUGACGGUACCUGGGGAGGAAGCUCCGGCUAACUACGUGCCAGCAGCCGCGGUAAUACGUAGGGAGCGAGCGUUGUCCGGAAUUACUGGGUGUAAAGGGAGCGUAGGCGGGACUGCAAGUUGGGUGUAAAAUCUACCGGCUCAACCGGUAGCCGCACUCAAAACUGCAGUUCUUGAGUGAAGUAGAGGCAGGCGGAAUGCCUGGUGUAGCGGUGAAAUGCGUAGAUAUUAGGAGGAACACCAGUGGCGAAGGCGGCCUGCUGGGCUUUUACUGACGCUGAGGCUCGAAAGUGUGGGGAGCGAACAGGAUUAGAUACCCCUGUAGUC
rnacentral:rRNA from 1 species